rnacentral:lncRNA from 1 species
CUUGAGUGGAUGCAGUGGUUGGUCACUUAGUGGCUUUGAGAAUCGGUGGGCAUCUUCCUCAUUCUCUGGCUUCCCUUUAGAGUGGAAUCUAUUGGGUUCUGGUUCUUUGCUCUGUGUCUUUCCUUUCCUGGAGGAAUUUCUCACUCGUUUACCCAGAUUGGAAAAGAGGUUAACAGUAUGGAAAGAAAGCAUUAAAGAAAUGAUGACCCUGCCUUGCUCUGAAAUCUUCUCUAUGGGAAGGAUCAAGACUACCUUGAGACAGUGCUCUUGAGACAGUGGCCAGGAGGCCUGGGGAGGAGAGAGCACUGUUGAUCCUUGGUGUUCUGUGGAGGCUAUUGCCUGCCAAAAUGUGUUUCUCUUUUAGCAGAGUCUGUAUUUGCACAGUGGUGGCACUUUUCAAAGAAUCCUUGUCUUUUAUUAGCAAGAGGACACGUCUAGGCACCCAGCUUCGAUUCUUGGUAUAAACAGCUCCUGUGUGUGUGAUCCCUGGCUCCUUUCAUUAUAAG